CCCGGGGCAUUGCCUUACUAGCGGCGAGUGAAGCGGCAAAAGCUCAAAUUUGAAAUCUGGCGCCUUCGGUGUCCGAGUUGUAAUUUGAAGAUUGUAACCUUGGGGUUGGCUCUUGUCUAUGUUUCUUGGAACAGGACGUCACAGAGGGUGAGAAUCCCGUGCGAUGAGAUGCCCAAUUCUAUGUAAGGUGCUUUCGAAGAGUCGAGUUGUUUGGGAAUGCAGCUCUAAGUGGGUGGUAAAUUCCAUCUAAAGCUAAAUAUUGGCGAGAGACCGAUAGCGAACAAGUACAGUGAUGGAAAGAUGAAAAGAACUUUGAAAAGAGAGUGAAAAAGUACGUGAAAUUGUUGAAAGGGAAGGGUUUGAGAUCAGACUCGAUAUUUUGUGAGCCUUGCCUUCGUGGCGGGGUGACCCGCAGCUUAUCGGGCCAGCAUCGGUUUGGGCGGUAGGAUAAUGGCGUAGGAAUGUGACUUUACUUCGGUGAAGUGUUAUAGCCUGCGUUGAUGCUGCCUGCCUAGACCGAGGACUGCGAUUUUAUCAAGGAUGCUGGCAUAAUGAUCCCAAACCGCCCGUCUUGAAACAACGGAACCA
rnacentral:rRNA from 1 species